AUGGGUGGGCCCGGGAUCGUGCUGUGCCCGGUGGGACCGGAGCCCCCGGCUGUGCCGCCCAUCCCUGCUAGUGCACGAGGUGAUUGCCCCGAGCGGCUCCGGCCGCCCAUCCCGCAGGAAAUCGCUGCGGCCGUCGGUCCUUCCCCACCUUCACACGGUGGUUUCGCUCUUCCAGAGGCCGGUCUUCAUGCCGGCCACGCUGUCGGCGCUGGCCAGGUUGAUGUCGUACUUGCUGCCCUUGAGGCCACCGUUGUGGCUGCCCACAUUGAGGGGGUAGGAACGGCGCUUCGCCUCCCUCUCGGCACCGCCGCCCGGCCGCAGGUUGUCCCGGCUGCCGCUCCUCCGGCGAGCCUCGGCGAAGUCAGGCACCCUCCGCCCGCCGUCGCUGCCCUCCGAGGGGCUGGGGAGCGCGUCCCCGUCCUGCGGCACCCGCGACCUGCCGCCGCUGGCCGGGCUGGUCCUGCCGCUGGGGUAGCUCUCGGAGUGGCUGUUGUGGAGGCUGCCGCUCUCGCUGGAUGGGUGCUCCGAGGGGCCCCGCAGCAUUUUCAAGCGGUGGUGCUUCCCGUCCCGGCACGGCUUAGUUCUGCCCCGGUGGCUCCUGCGGCCGUGCAGGUUGCUGGUGUGCCUGACGGGCUUCCCGUCGGCAGCGUCCGGCUCCGGGCAGGGCGGCGGCCGCGAUUCCGCCUGGCUCUGGGCUACCUGCAGGUUGGUGAGCUUGCAGCGGCCCCCGGCAGAGCCGGCGCUGCUGGGCGAGGAGGAGGAGGAGGCGCCGGAGCGAGCGGCCUCUGGCUCGCAGCCGAUGAAGACCUGCGAGCCGUCCUCCGGCCCCAGCCCGGGGUGCACGUAGGCCUGCAUGGGCAGCGCGUUCCGGUACGACGGGCAGCAGGAGAACCAGGAGCUGAGCACGUCCCGGCGCCUCAGGCAGUGAUGGAUGAAGAUGAAGAGCCCCAGCGUCACGGCGGUGACGCCGUAGAGGCAGCUGAAGACGAUGCUCAGGUACCAGCGCUGGGACACGGCCAUGGCGCCGAACGUCCACAGGGCCACGUACAGAGCGUGGGUGGCCACCAGAGCCCAGAACUGCACCCGCAGAGAGUAGACACCAUCCCCCUCGGGGCAGGGUGGCCCCGAGUUCAGUGUCACCGAGNNNNNNNNNNNNNNNNNNNNGAGUCUGUCAGGAGGUCACUGGUGGCCCCCAGCCGCGGCGGGGGCUCCAGCGGCUCCGGGAUGUCUUUCUGGUGCGAGGGUCGGCACUGGAGGCUGAGCCCAGCACAGAGGAAAUAA
rnacentral:lncRNA from 1 species